rnacentral:lncRNA from 1 species
CUACGUUCUAAAGGGUGGGCUGCAUAUCAGGGCAGAGGGUAGGGUGGCCUCCUGAGUGGGCCAGAAAAAGAAAGCAUCAAGAUGUAAUGGUGAAGUUGAGAUGAUGAUCAGAGUCUUACUUCAGACAAAUCAUGAGUCUCAGAGGAAGUGAUGACAGAGAUGUCUGUGGAAACUAUUGAAGAGGAAGGCUUUGCUAAAUCUUCAUGGAGAGAGUCCUUUCUAUGGAGGAGACAUUAUGCUAGAAUUUUCACACAGAUUAUUUUAUUUAACUCCAAGAACUACUCCAUGAAAUAGGCAUGAUCAUCACCUUCAUUGUUUACAGAAAUAUAGAGGAGUCAUCCUUAGAUUUUAAAAGGUUUUGCCUGCUGUUGAACUACUUGGACUUCCAAAUCAUGGGCCCAUUGCAAGAAAAAAAAAGUGAUUACAGAAAAUAAUAUGCUUGAAAGUCAAAGACAGAUGAUGAUUUGCUGACCUGUCCUUCAGUGAUUGCUGAGCUUCAUUGUCCCAGACCAAGGCACUUAGUCCUGUUCAAGUACCUA